UUGAGGUCAAAAGGGUCCAAAAUUAAACUUUGUUUGAUUUCAUCGAAAAUUGAAUUAUUGGGGUUCUUUGAUAUGUCAAAUCUAACCGUGUUUUUAGAUUUUUAAUUUGGGUCCCGUUUUUAUACGACCGCAAAAAAAUUUUUGUGGUCGUAUAUUGGUAUGACGUUGGCGUCGUCGUCGUCCGGCGUCGUCGUCGUCAUCCGGCGUCGGCGUCGUCCGGCGUCGUCCGAAGACACAUUGGUUUUCGCACUCUAACUUUAGUUUAAGUGAAUGGAUCUUUUUGAAAUUUGACCAUAAGGUUAAAUACCACAAAAGGAAGGUUGGGAUUGAUUUUGGGGGUUAUGGUACCAACAGUUAAGGAAUUAGGGGCCAAAAAUUAGCAUUUUUGUAACUUCCAGACAUAACUUGUGUGUUAGUGUAUGGAUCUCUCUGACAUUGUACCACAAGGUUCCAUAUCACACAGGGAAUGCUGGGAUUGAUUUUGGGGGUAAUUGCCUCAAAAUAUUAGGAAUUAGGGGCCAAAAAAGGGGCAAAAAACAAGCAUUUUUCUAGUUUCAUGACAAUAACUUGUGUGUAAGUGUAUGGAUCUUUCUGAAAUUAUACUACAAGGUUCCAUAUCACAAAGGGAAGCUGGAAUUGAGUUUGGGGGUAAUUGCCCAAAACAUUUAGGAAUAAGGGGCCAAAAAGGGGCCAAAAAUAAGCAUUUUUCUAGUUUCCAGACAAUAACUUGUGUUCAAGUGUAUGGAUCUCUCUGAAAUUGUACCACAAGGUUCCAUAUCACACAGGGAAUGCUGGGAUUGAUAUUAAGGGUAAUUGCCUCAAAAUAUUAGGAAUUAGGGGCCAAAAAAGGGGCAAAAAACAAGCAUUUUUCUAGUUUCAUGAUAAUAACUUGUGCGUAAGUGUAUGGAUCUUUCUGAAAUUGUACUACAAGGUUCCAUAUCACAAAGGGAAAGCAGGAAUUGAGUUUGGGGGUAAUUGCCCAAAACGUUUAGGAAUAAGGGGCCAAAAAGGGGCCAAAAAUAAGCAUUUUUCUAGUUUCCAGACAAUAACUUGUGUUCAAGUGUAUGGAUCUCUCUGAAAUUGUACUGCAAGGUACCAUACCACAAAGGGAAGGCUGGGAUUGAGUUUGGGGGUGAUGAAUCAUAAGGGGGUUCAAAAAAUUUGGGGGGGGAUUUUUUUUUUUCAUUUUUUUUCUUUUUUUCCUUUUUUUUUCUUUUAAAAUUUUCCAUUUUAAGUUGGUUAUUUCUGUUUUAUAUUUAAAAGCAAAUAAUAAUGAUAUGGUAGGAGAUACACACCAAACAGGAUGUGUAAAUUAUUAUAUAAUAAGUAUUGUGCAAUAGCAAGAAAUUUUCAAUUGCACAGUAUUGCACAAUAGCAAGAAAUCUUAAAUUGCACAGUAUUGCGCAAUAGCAAGAAAUCUUCAAUUGCACAGUAUUGUGCAAUAGCAAGAAAUAUCCAAUAGCACAAUAUUGCGCAAUAGCAAGAAAUUGUCAAUUGUACAGUAUUGCGCAAUAGCAAGAAAUAUUCAAUUGCACAGUAUAAAUUGCUUAUUUCUUGACCAAUUUCAAUGGGGUUUUAUUCUUGAAUUCUUGGGGUUCUUUAAUAUGCUGAUUCUAACCGUGUAUUAAGUUUUUGGAUUUUGGGCCCCGUUUUUAAAUUGGUCCACAUUGAGGUCCAAAGGGUCCAAAAUUAAACUUUGUUUGAUUUCAUCAAAAAUUGAAUUAAUGGGGUUCUUUGAUAUACCGAAUCUAACCGUGUAUUUAGAUUCUUAAUUUUUGGUUCCCUUUUCAAAUGGGUCUACAUUACGGUCCAAAGAGUCCAAAAUUAAACUUAGUUUGAUUUUAACAAAAAUUGAAUUCUUAGGGUUCUUUGAUAUGCUGAAUCUAAACAUGUAUUUAGAUUUUUGAUUAUGGGCCCAGUUUUCAAGUUGGUCCAAAUCGGGGUCCAAAAUUAAAAUUUGUUUGAUUUCAACAAAAAUUGAAUAUAUGGGGUUCUUUGAUAUGCUGAAUCUAACCAUGUAUUUAGAUUUUUGAUUUUUGGGCCCCUAUAUCAACUUUGUCCACAUUGAGGUCAAAAGGGUCCAAAAUUAAAUUUUGUUUGAUUUCAUCAAAAAUUGAAUUCUUGGGGUUCUUUGAUAUGCUGAAUCUAACCAUGUAUUUAGAUUUUGGAUAUUGGACCAUAAUAGGUGAAUGUCCAAUUUAAAAUUUAUAAGUUCUUAGACCACAUUGAUUCUGUGUCAGAAACCUAUGCUGUGUCAAAUAUUUAAUCACAAUCCAAAUUCAGAGCUGUAUCAAGCUUGAAUGUUGUGUCCAUACUUGCCCCAACUGUUCAGGGUUCGACCUCUGCGGUCGUAUCAAGCUGCGCCCUGCGGAGCAUUUUAUUUGUUUCUGUUUUCUAACUUUAGUUUGCCUCAAUCAAAUGUUAUGAAACUUAUACACAAUGCUUAUUACUACAUAAUACAGAUUAAGAACGAAAUUUCUUUAUAAACAUAAAAUUGCUGAAUUUUU